GAAACGAGAGCCAUUUCCUGCUUGUCCUGUUGCCAGCCGCCACCAUCAGCUCACUUACUAACUUUCCCCUCCGUUAACGUCACAAAGAUGAGGGACACCUGGUAUUGACAAGGGGAGAGGAAAACUGUGGCACUGGUCAAAGUUCACUGGCAGCGUUCAGCUUCAGCUGACUCAAGCUACUUUUUCUACUGUAAGGUACAGCUUCUGUCCUGUGAAUAGGAAAAAUAAACAGGCACUCCUGAGGACAGCGUAUGCCGUAUGCAGACGUGGUGAAGAUAAAGUCUGACAGAUCAGUUCCUGUGGAAGACAGUUGCUCCCGCUCCAGCAGUUAGCACUUCAUAAAAGCUAUGAAACUCUCCCUCCCCGCUUCCCCAAACACACAUACAACUCUCAAAAUCAGCAUAAACUGUCUAGAAUUGUGACAUACUGCUUUCUUGCAUGUAAACAUGUAGCGACACAAAAUGUAUUUACUGUGGGAGGAGGAUGUUAUCUGAGCAGCCACUAAAAUAUUAACAUGAGGGUAUGCCUUGUCAUUUUAUACGAAGUAUACUCCGGGAAACUGUAAUGUGUACGACUUUCUGUUAACUCUGCCUACUUAAAAAACACUGUACUGCUUUCUACAAUACAGUAUACUGCCUCCUGCUUUUAACAAAUGCACAGAUUUGGGCCAUCAGCCAUCAUGCCACCACUUUAAUACCAUAAUCUGCACAGGUACACUGAUGAACACUAUUCUUUCAUGGAAAUGGUGUAAACCCUAACUUGCCAAAACCCUAGUAAAUUACUUUGUAAUAAAAUAAUUUUAAAUUAUUAUUUUGUUGUUUCAGCUUACAUUUCAUUACUGACUGUCUCCCUGGACUUUACUGCAAUACUGUCUUCUGAAUUGAUAAAAGACUUAAUUUCAAACUGGAAUACAAAUCAGGGAUGCACCGAUAUCGGUAUCGACUGAUAUUCGCCUUGUUGACUGCUAUUGGCUAGGGGUGGGCAGUAUACCAGUUUCGUCACCGGUCACCGGUUUCACUUUCUGCCACGGCAUGGAUUUUGCAAUACGAGACAUGGAAGGUAACGUUACGAGCAAAGCAUGCCAAUUUCUCUGUUGUUGGCUGCAAAAACCAACACAAGUGUCUUCAUCUACUCGCAUCAUCCGAGGAAGUAAGACCCAGUGGAUUAACUUUAUUUUUGAUGGAAAUGUCCCCACAACAACUGGAAAACUCAUAUGUGUGCACUACGUUAACCAUUUUACUGCAGACUGCUUUAGCUUUGACUGCUGUAAGUUACAAAGCAGGCUUCGCUUCAAAACUGAAGCUUGAGGAUGGAUCGGUACCGACUUAAAACUUGGAAGCUGUAAGUUUUGCCAUUUUUAUGUUGUUUAACUGUUUAUUUUGCAGGUUAGCCUGUUGGCAUUAGCAUGUUGCGGGGCUAAUGUGGCUGGCUUUGUUACACAAAAGACCCAUCUGCUCUCGCCGGUGUUAUGUCCCAACUGGUUUUCAAACUAACUGGUUCCCGUACACAUGCAUGCGUUGUGUUCACCGAACAGCAGAUUACAUUUCUUUUUUCAUAGGUGGCUGUGAUGUAGUGCUCACUUAUACAAAUCAUAUUUGCCACAGUAGAUAUGAGAUGCGACUUGAAAAUCGUCAGUAAUAUGUUUGCGAAUGUGUGACAAAUCUGGUGAGAGGGAGACCACAAGUGCUGCUGUAUGUGUGUGUGUUGCUGCCGUAUGUAAAUGUACUUGAUAGAUAUGCCCUGUGGUACACUGACUAUUGUACUUAUAAUAUACUUUGGGUUUUCUGCCAAAUAAAUGCUGUUGAGAUGCCUAA